AUUGAACGCUGGCGGCAGGCCUAACACAUGCAAGUCGAGCGGAUGAAGGGAGCUUGCUCCUGGAUCCAGCGGCGGACGGGUGAGUAAUGCCUAGGAAUCUGCCUGGUAGUGGGGGAUAACGUCCGGAAACGGGCGCUAAUACCGCAUACGUCCUGAGGGAGAAAGUGGGGGAUCUUCGGACCUCACGCUAUCAGAUGAGCCUAGGUCGGAUUAGCUAGUUGGUGGGGUAAGGGCCUACCAAGGCGACGAUCCGUAACUGGUCUGAGAGGAUGAUCAGUCACACUGGAACUGAGACACGGUCCAGACUCCUACGGGAGGCAGCAGUGGGGAAUAUUGGACAAUGGGCGAAAGCCUGAUCCAGCCAUGCCGCGUGUGUGAAGAAGGUCUUCGGAUUGUAAAGCACUUUAAGUUGGGAGGAAGGGCAGUAAGUUAAUACCUUGCUGUUUUGACGUUACCAACAGAAUAAGCACCGGCUAACUUCGUG
rnacentral:rRNA from 1 species